CCCCUAGUAACUGCGAGUGAAGCGGGAUGAGCUCAAAUUUAAAAUCUGGCGGUUUCACCGUCCGAGUUGUAAUCUGGAGAAGCGUUUUCCGCGUCGGACCGUGUACAAGUCUCUUGGAAUAGAGCGUCAUAGAGGGUGAGAAUCCCGUCCAUGACACGGACUCCCGGUGCUAUGUGAUACGCUCUCAAAGAGUCGAGUUGUUUGGGAAUGCAGCUCAAAAUGGGUGGUAAAUUCCAUCUAAAGCUAAAUAUUGGCGAGAGACCGAUAGCGAACAAGUACCGUGAGGGAAAGAUGAAAAGCACUUUGGAAAGAGAGUUAAACAGUACGUGAAAUUGUUGAAAGGGAAACGCUUGAAGUCAGUCGCGUUGUACGGAGCUCAGCCUUGCUUCUGCUUGGUGUAUUCUCUGUGUCAACGGGUCAACAUCAAUUUCGAUCGGUGGAGAAGGGCUUGGGGAAUGUGGCGUCGUUUCGGCGACGUGUUAUAGCCCUAGGUCGUAUGCAUCGAUUGGGAUUGAGGACCGCAGCACGCCCUUGUGGCCGGGGGGUUCGCCCUUACGUUUCGUGCUUAGGAUGUUGGCAAAAUGGCUUUAAGCGACCCGUCUUGAAACACGGACCAAGGAGUCUAACAUGCCUGCGAGUGUUCGGGUGGAAAACCCUUGCGCGUAAUGAAAGUGAAAGUUGGGAUCCCUCGCAAGGGGGUGCACCGACGCCCGGCCCUGAAGUUCUCUGACGGUGCUGCGGUAGAGCAUGUAUGUUGGGACCCGAAAGAUGGUGAACUAUGCCUGAAUAGGGUGAAGCCAGAGGAAACUCUGGUGGAGGCUCGUAGCGAUUCUGACGUGCAAAUCGAUCGUCAAAUUUGGG
rnacentral:rRNA from 1 species